rnacentral:rRNA from 1 species
GACGUAGGAGGCGAGCGUUGUCCGGAUUCAUUGGGCGUAAAGAGCACGCAGGCGGUUUGGCAAGUCGGAUGUGAAAACCCGGAGCUCAACUCCGGACCUGCAUCCGAAACUGCCCGACUAGAGGUAGGUAGGGGAGAUCGGAAUUCCUGGUGUAGCGGUGAAAUGCGCAGAUAUCAGGAGGAACACCAACGGCGAAGGCAGCUCGCUGGGACGGUACUGACGCUGAGACGCGAAAGCGUGGGGAGCAAACAGG